GAUGAACGCUGGCGGCGUGCCUAAUACAUGCAAGUCGAGCGAACAGACGAGGAGCUUGCUCCUCUGACGUUAGCGGCGGACGGGUGAGUAACACGUGGAUAACCUACCUAUAAGACUGGGAUAACUUCGGGAAACCGGAGCUAAUACCGGAUAAUAUAUUGAACCGCAUGGUUCAAUAGUGAAAGACGGUUUUGCUGUCACUUAUAGAUGGAUCCGCGCCGCAUUAGCUAGUUGGUAAGGUAACGGCUUACCAAGGCGACGAUGCGUAGCCGACCUGAGAGGGUGAUCGGCCACACUGGAACUGAGACACGGUCCAGACUCCUACGGGAGGCAGCAGUAGGGAAUCUUCCGCAAUGGGCGAAAGCCUGACGGAGCAACGCCGCGUGAGUGAUGAGGGUCUUCGGAUCGUAAAACUCUGUUAUUAGGGAAGAACAAAUGUGUAAGUAACUAUGCACGUCUUGACGGUACCUAAUCAGAAAGCCACGGCUAACUACGU
rnacentral:rRNA from 1 species